CACAUUCUUCUUCGUCAAACACCACUGCAUGGAUCGUGCAUGAGAGAGAGAGCAAGACAGCUCAUGGCAUCGAUAUAAGAAAAGGCAGAACAGAGCACCUUAAGCAUGGAAACUGUCAUUUUCAGGCACGUUUCAGUCAUUCAACUACUGCCGCUGAUAAACAGAUGCCCGUGGGAAUGAAAUGUAAAAUAUUUUUUGACUUAUUGUUCACAAAAGUAUAAGAUAUGUCGUUUUUUUUUAUUUUCCUUUUUUUAUCAUUGCACUCCCUGCUGUUUGAAGCCAUUACCCAUAUGAUCCCUUUGCCGUUACAAAAACCUACAUUCCUUUACCAAACCAAUUAUCAAAUCAUCAAACCUUUUCACUCCUGGAUUCACAAACCGCUGAUUCGUACCCUCACUUCAUCGUCAUUGUAUCGUUCAAAUUAAUAAAUAGGACAUCAUCAUACAAAUUCAAAUAUAUAUUCAAAUAUUAAAAAAAAUACGAAAUGCAUCUGCCACAAUUUUUGUUCUUACCCAACGUAAAGUCUUUGUCUUCUGCAUUGUCAUAUACAGGGCAAUGACUCGUUGGUAACCUGCCUAACUAUGUGAUAAUCACUUUUCUUUUGUAAAGAAAAGAAUAUUGUGAUAUUUCAGUGUUAAUAGUUAGGUAAGGCAAUAAAGCAUUUUUAAAAGUU